rnacentral:rRNA from 1 species
AUUGAACGCUGGCGGAAUGCCUUACACAUGCAAGUCGAGCGGGGUGAUGGUGCUUGCACUAUCACUUAGCGGCGGACGGGUGAGUAAUGCUUAGGAAUCUGCCUAUUAGUGGGGGACAACAUCUCGAGAGGGAUGCUAAUACCGCAUACGUCCUACGGGAGAAAGCAGGGGAUCACUUGUGACCUUGCGCUAAUAGAUGAGCCUAAGUCGGAUUAGCUAGUUGGUGGGGUAAAGGCCUACCAAGGCGACGAUCUGUAGCGGGUCUGAGAGGAUGAUCCGCCACACUGGGACUGAGACACGGCCCAGACUCCUACGGGAGGCAGCAGUGGGGAAUAUUGGACAAUGGGGGAACCCUGAUCCAGCCAUGCCGCGUGUGUGAAGAAGGCCUUAUGGUUGUAAAGCACUUUAAGCGAGGAGGAGGCUCUUUUGGUUAAUACCCAAGAUGAGUGGACGUUACUCGCAGAAUAAGCACCGGCUAACUCUGUGCCAGCCGCCCCGGUAA